GACGAACGCUGGCGGCGUGCCUAAUACAUGCAAGUUGAGCGCUGAAGGUUGGUACUUGUACCAACUGGAUGAGCAGCGAACGGGUGAGUAACGCGUGGGGAAUCUGCCUUUGAGCGGGGGACAACAUUUGGAAACGAAUGCUAAUACCACAUAAAAACUUUAAACACAAGUUUUAAGUUUGAAAGAUGCAAUUGCAUCACUCAAAGAUGAUCCCGCGUUGUAUUAGCUAGUUGGUGAGGUAAAGGCCCACCAAGGCGAUGAUACAUAGCCGACCUGAGAGGGUGAUCGGCCACAUUGGGACUGAGACACGGCCCAAACUCCUACGGGAGGCAGCAGUAGGGAAUCUUCGGCAAUGGACGAAAGUCUGACCGAGCAACGCCGCGUGAGUGAAGAAGGUUUUCGGAUCGUAAAACUCUGUUGGUAGAGAAGAACGUUGGUGAGAGUGGAAAGCUCAUCAAGUGACGGUAACUACCCAGAAAGGGACGGCUAACUACGUG
rnacentral:rRNA from 1 species